UACAGAGGUCUCAAGCGUUGUUCGGAUUCAUUGGGCGUAAAGGGUGCGUAGGUGGCGCCGUAAGUCAGGUGUGAAAUUUCGGAGCUUAACUCCGAAACUGCAUUCGAUACUGGCGUGCUUGAGGACUGGAGAGGAGACUGGAAUUUACGGUGUAGCAGUGAAAUGCGUAGAUAUCGUAAGGAAGACCAGUGGCGAAGGCGGGUCUCUGGACAGUUCCUGACACUGAGACACGAAGGCCAGGGGAGCAAACGGG
rnacentral:rRNA from 1 species